CCUUGCUAUAUAAUGAUGUGGUAGACACAGUGGUAUCAUGCCCUUCUCGAUGCUACUGUUCUGUGGCAUAGAUGUAUAAACCCU
rnacentral:precursor_RNA from 1 species